UACGUAGGCAGCGAGCGUUGUUCGGAGUUACUGGGCGUAAAGGGUGUGUAGGCGGUUCUCUAAGUUUGGUGUGAAAUCUCCCGGCUCAACCGGGAGGGUGCGCCGAAAACUGGGGGGACUAGAGUGCGGGAUGGGAGAGUAGAAUUCCUGGUGUAGCGGUGAAAUGCGUAGAUAUCAGGAGGAAUACCGGUGGUGUAGACGGCUCUCUGGACCGCAACUGACGCUGAGACACGAAAGCGUGGGUAGCAAACAGG
rnacentral:rRNA from 1 species